rnacentral:lncRNA from 1 species
GAUUUAGAUUAUUGGCCAUACCAAUAAAUGCAUAUUUUAAAGACAUAAUGAUGGAAAUUAGUUUGACCAACUCACUUAAUCCAUGAAUUUGGUAUCAUAUUCAUAAUAUCAUGACAAUAAAACUUCAUAAAUUGAAAAUUUUAUAGCCAAAGAAGAAUCCGAUUGAUCAAAGAUCCCCAAACCUAUAAAAUAUCAUGUUUCUACCA